AUUGAACGCUGGCGGCAGGCCUAACACAUGCAAGUCGAGCGAGUGGCGGACGGGUGGGCAAUGUCUGGGAAACUGCCUGAUGGAGGGGGCUCACUACUGGAAACGGUAGCUACUACCGCAUACCAGCGGAUGUGCCCAGAUGGGAUUAGCUAGUAGGUGGGGUAAAGGCUCACCUAGGCGACGAUCCCUACCUGGUCUGAGAGGAUGAACAGCCACACUGGAACUGAGACACGGUCCAGACUCCUACGGGAGGUAGCAGUGGGGAAUAUUGCACAAUGGGCGCAAGCCUGAUGCAGCCAUGCCGCGUGUAUGAAGAAGGCCUUCGGGUUGUAAAGUACUUUCAGCGGGGAGGCGUUACCCGCAGAAGAAGCACCGGCUAACUCCGUGCCAGCCGCCGCGGUAAUAC
rnacentral:rRNA from 1 species